rnacentral:rRNA from 1 species
CCGGGUUGCGGACAGUGUCUGGUGGGUAGUUUGACUGGGGCGGUCUCCUCCUAAAGAGUAACGGAGGAGCACGAAGGUUGGCUAAUCCUGGUCGGACAUCAGGAGGUUAGUGCAAUGGCAUAAGCCAGCUUGACUGCGAGCGUGACGGCGCGAGCAGGUGCGAAAGCAGGUCAUAGUGAUCCGGUGGUUCUGAAUGGAAGGGCCAUCGCUCAACGGAUAAAAGGUACUCCGGGGAUAACAGGCUGAUACCGCCCAAGAGUUCAUAUCGACGGCGGUGUUUGGCACCUCGAUGUCGGCUCAUCACAUCCUGGGGCUGAAGUAGGUCCCAAGGGUAUGGCUGUUCGCCAUUUAAAGUGGUACGCGAGCUGGGUUUAGAACGUCGUGAGACAGUUCGGUCCCUAUCUGCCGUGGGCGCUGGAGAACUGAGGGGGGCUGCUCCUAGUACGAGAGGACCGGAGUGGACGCAUCACUGGUGUUCGGGUUGUCAUGCCAAUGGCACUGCCCGGUAGCUAAAUGCGGAAGAGAUAAGUGCUGAAAGCAUCUAAGCACGAAACUUGCC